UACGUAGGCAGCAAGCGUUGUUCGGAGUUACUGGGCGUAAAGGGUGUGUAGGCGGUUGCUUAAGUUUGGUGUGAAAUCUCCCGGCUCAACUGGGAGGGUGCGCCGAAUACUGAAUGACUAGAGUGCGGGAGAGGAGAGUGGAAUUCCUGGUGUAGCGGUGAAAUGCGUAGAUAGUCAGGAGGAACACCGGUGGUGUAGACGGCUCUCUGGACCGUAACUGACGCUGAGGCACGAAAGCGUGGGUAGCAAACAGG
rnacentral:rRNA from 1 species